AUCUCGUUCCCAGAGUAUGCCUGUUCGCGGGUUAUGUAGUAGCAUGACACUACAUAACCCGCGAACAGGCAUACUCUGGGAACGAGAUUGUAAC